UUACAUAUUUCUGUUAGGUUCUU
rnacentral:miRNA from 1 species